rnacentral:rRNA from 1 species
GACGAACGCUGGCGGCGUGCUUAACACAUGCAAGUCGAACGGAAAGGCCCUGCUUUUGUGGGGUGCUCGAGUGGCGAACGGGUGAGUAACACGUGAGUAACCUGCCCUUGACUUUGGGAUAACUUCAGGAAACUGGGGCUAAUACCGGAUAGGAGCUCCUGCUGCAUGGUGGGGGUUGGAAAGUUUCGGCGGUUGGGGAUGGACUCGCGGCUUAUCAGCUUGUUGGUGGGGUAGUGGCUUACCAAGGCUUUGACGGGUAGCCGGCCUGAGAGGGUGACCGGCCACAUUGGGACUGAGAUACGGCCCAGAAUCCUACGGGAGGCAGCAGUGGGGAAUAUUGCACAAUGGGCGGAAGCCUGAUGCAGAAACGCCGCGUGCGGGAUGACGGCCUUCGGGUUGUAAACCGCUUUCGCCUGUGACGAAGCGUGAGUGACGGUAAUGGGUAAAGAAGCACCGGCUAACUACGUG